CCAGAUCUUCAGCAAAGUCCAGUCCUCAUUGAGCUUGUUGUUGAUCAUAUCUUAACCUCUUGGAGCUUAUUUUAAUUAUGUGUAUUUCUGUCUCUUCAUACCUGCACAUGUUAAACUGAAUAAUAAAAAUACCAGGAGGAGCUGAUACCUGUCCUUAACAUCACUGUUAAAGCAAAACUUCUGAGGUUUCAUUAGGUGUUUUGAUCCUAUUUAGAGAUCUGAAAGAGCUGAUUUGGUAAAUGAUUAAACAGAAAACAAUAGAA